GAUGAACGCUGGCGGCGUGCCUAAUACAUGCAAGUCGAGCGAACGGACGAGGAGCUUGCUCCUCUGACGUUAGCGGCGGACGGGUGAGUAACACGUGGAUAACCUACCUAUAAGACUGGGAUAACUUCGGGAAACCGGAGCUAAUACCGGAUAAUAUAUUGAACCGCAUGGUUCAAUAGUGAAAGACGGUUUUGCUGUCACUUAUAGAUGGAUCCGCGCCGCAUUAGCUAGUUGGUAAGGUAACAGCUUACCAAGGCAACGAUGCGUAGCCGACCUGAGAGGGUGAUCGGCCACACUGGAACUGAGACACGGUCCAGACUCCUACGGGAGGCAGCAGUAGGGAAUCUUCCGCAAUGGGCGAAAGCCUGACGGAGCAACGCCGCGUGAGUGAUGAAGGUCUUCGGAUCGUAAAACUCUGUUAUUAGGGAAGAACAAAUGUGUAAGUAACUAUGCACGUCUUGACGGUACCUAAUCAGAAAGCCACGGCUAACUACGUG
rnacentral:rRNA from 1 species